UGAGGAACAUGACCUUCGGCGGGGGAUAGCCGGCCCAACGGCCGGGUAAUACCGCGUACGACCACAUGGGGACAUCCCUGGGUGGUGAAAGCAGCAAUGCGCCGAUGGAGUGCCUCGCGGCCUAUCAGCUAGUUGGUGAGGUAACGGCUCACCAAGGCGACGACGGGUAGCUGGUCUGAGAGGAUGAUCAGCCACACUGGGACUGAGACACGGCUCAGAUCCUACGGGG
rnacentral:rRNA from 1 species